CCAACCAGGAAUAUUUAAUACAACCGUGAGCAAGUUACCAAGAUCUGAGCAGGCAGUCAUCCCCUAGAGGCGAGACCUUCUGCCUGCUGACAUCCGAUCUGGCUUUGAAGGCAGAGUGACCCCCUGGCCCUGCGAGGAAACGUACUGUGUUAUUCAUUUUCUAGCUGCAGAUCAGAAUGUAUCUCUACUACUUCUCCAGCAACAAACCUGCUAUGUCAGCAAUAUGCUGCUUAACAUGACAAUGGACUAAGGUUCUGAAAUUUACCACAUUGAAGAGGUAUGGAGACAGUGGACAACCUUACCUUGUUCCUGAUUUUAGUGAAAUUACAUUGAGUUUCUGCUACAAGCUGCAACAGUAAUUGCUCAGCCGUCUUCACAACUGAUUUAUCAGGACCAAGGGGUCUGGUAAAGGGUAAACCAAAAGGCAAGGCUUGUUGGCACUACUGCUUUGUGAAUAAAGUGGUUGUCCUUUGCUGUAGUUUUUUGCUGUAGCUAACUCCCUUUUUGUUACAUAUUUGGGAAUUAAUUCCUUAGUUCAGAAUAAUUUUCUACUGCCUAGCCAUGUCCCUCUCUCUUAAGUAAGCAAAGAGAUCUGACUUCCUGCAAUUAUCUUUAUCAACAGAUAUUUGGUUUUGAGUCCAGGCCUAGAGCAUUUACUUUAAGAUAUUCACAGAUAUCCAACGACAUAGAAUUACUACUUGCCCAAGUUGCUGCUCUGGUUUUAUCUCAAUCAAAGGAUUAUUAACUCCUUAUGACCCCUUUACCUCAGUUUACUGAUGAAUUUAGUUCCGGUCUCUCAAAGACAGCAGAAGGGAUAAAUAACUGCAGCCCAGAGAAAGACCCUCUAAACCCACAGUCAGAAUGACUGAUAACAGCAUGGCCCCAAACUGAUAAUUUAGAGUUUUGGGUCUCUUCUUUACUUAGAGCAGUAAUUCCAUCUCCAGACUUAGGCCCUUAAAAACUACAGUUUCUAGUGUAUGUGCUAUCUGAUCAAGAGCCAUCAGCUUCUCCCUGUUUACAUAGGUUGCCUGGUUACUUGGCAACCUCUGUACAUACUGGGAGAAAAGAAGUGGCAUGGCUAAUUUAAACAAUCCAUGCCCUAUUCAUAGUUUUACUGAAAAUAAACCUUUCUAACAAUCAAAAAAAUGUAGUGUAGUGUACUAACUUCCCCUCUAGAAUUCCCUGAUAAUCUAAUUCCUUUUUUCACUAACUUUCUGACAAUCUAAUUCCUUUUUCUACUUUCCCUUUUAAAGAGUUCAACAGAAGUGUACUAGCCACGAGAGAGAGAGAGAGAGAGAGAGAGAGAGAGAGAGAGAGAGAGAGAGAGAGAGAACCCUUAUCUGAUUUGCUAGAGGGCGAAAGAAUUCCAGCCCUGGAACCUGCUAAGGCUGAGAUUGGGAACAUUUUGUAAUAGGAGGUGGAGAAGAAUAAAGAAAUAAGGGCAGAACGUUGUGUAAUAAGAGAUAGAGAAUAAUAAAGUAGCAUAGGCAGAUGAUUCUCAUUGUGAGUAGACUUCCUUACCAUGCUAUUUUUGUCUUCCCCUUUAACUAUUAAUGGCAUCUUUAAUAAAACAAUGAAUAAAGCCUUAAAGGCUAAAACUUUUAAGGCUCAGGUUAAGUUUCCAUCUGUUUAAAGUGAUGUUGACUAUAUGCUUGCUGUAUAUUUAUUAUGUUGAUAUAUAUCUACUGUAUUCAGAUAAUCUCUGCAGGACUUCUAUCAUGAGGGGGUGUUCGAUUUUGUCAAAGGCCUCUCAUAUAUCUAUUGAAAUUAUUAUGUUGUUUUAGUCUUUUAGUUUGUUUAGGUGAUAGAUCAUAUUUAAUGACUCACAUAUAUCAAAACAUCCCUACGUCUCUGGGAUAAUGUCUACUUGAUAAUAAUGGGUGAUCUUUUGGAUGUGUUCUUGGAUUUGGUUUGCAAGCAUUUUCUUGAGUAUUUUGCAUCUAUGUUUGUAAGGGAAAUUGGUCUGUAAUUCUCCUUCUUUGUUGAGUCUUUCUGUGGUAUGCAUAUUAAAUUAACUGAAACCUCCUAAAAUGAA